rnacentral:rRNA from 1 species
AGCGAACGCUGGCGGAAGGAGGAACACAUGCAAGUCGAGCGGGCACUUUCGGGUGUCAGCGGCGGACGGGUGAGUAACGCGUGGGAACGUGCCCUCUGGUUCGGAAUAACUCAGGGAAACUUGAGCUAAUACCGGAUACGCCCUUUUGGGGAAAGGCUUGCUGCCGGAGGAUCGGCCCGCGUCUGAUUAGCUAGUUGGUGAGGUAACGGCUCACCAAGGCGACGAUCAGUAGCUGGUCUGAGAGGAUGAUCAGCCACACUGGGACUGAGACACGGCCCAGACUCCUACGGGAGGCAGCAGGUGGGAAUAUUGGACAAUGGGCGCAAGCCUGAUCCAGCCAUGCCGCGUGAGUGAUGAAGGCCUUAGGGUUGUAAAGCUCUUUUAUCCGGGACGAUAAUGACGGUACCGGAGGAAUAAGCCCCGGCUAACUUCGUG